CAGACAGCUAAGGAAUGACAAUCACACCGAGCGUCCCACACCCCACAUACCCCCACAAGGACACCUCCGUGUGCCAUCCUGCUCCCCCCAACCCAGGGCUCUGGGGAACCCUCCGACGGGCCUCACCCCAGGAAAAUGAAACAACUCUCACUUCUCCUUUUUCGGUGUGUCCAAGGGUUAAAAACACUUCCGAACUACCCUUCCAACUGCAAGGUCAAGCAGCUGUCCAAACCACCCAAGGAGAAGCGGGAGCCGGGGACAGCCAACCGCCGCCCGCUCGGCCGCAGGCUGCCCCUCCCCCACGCCGCCCGGCAGGGGAAGAGUUAAGGAGCCAUCGGCUCUGGCUGAUAGUUCGGACUCCAAAGUUCAGUCCCAGCCGGAGCCACCCCGGAGGAAUUGUAAAUCUCAGGGCAGUAUUUAACAAAACAAAAGCAACCUGGAAUUACAUGCAGGGCCGGCUGGAGACAGUCCCGCCUGCCAGCCUCCAACCUCUCUCUCUCUCUCUCUCCUUUGCUCUAGUCACUGGAUUUUCCAAACACCUGGGCGUGGGAGUGCUUGUCAGGCCCGGCUGCACAGGCGAGCGAGACCUCUUCUCCCCCCUUUCAGACCCGAAGCAAGU